rnacentral:ncRNA from 22 species
GCAUGGGAUAGCCUUUCUAAAUGGUUUAUUAAGCAAUUCUAUUUUACCAAGACUAUCGUAACCAUGCAAAAAAGCAACUCGGCAAACGCGUUCUUUUUUUUGUAU